AUAUGGUCUGAGAAAUUCAACUUAUCAUCAAUCACAACUCCAAGAUUUCUAGCUGUUUUUGAAGGAGUUAUGCUCAUCAACUAUA